rnacentral:rRNA from 1 species
CCUACGGGAGGCAGCAGUGAGGAAUAUUGGUCAAUGGACGAGAGUCUGAACCAGCCAAGUAGCGUGAAGGAUGACUGCCCUAUGGGUUGUAAACUUCUUUUAUAUGGGAAUAAAAUGUUCCACGUGUGGGAUUUUGUAUGUACCAUUUGAAUAAGGAUCGGCUAACUCCGUGCCAGCAGCCGCGGUAAUACGGAGGAUCCGAGCGUUAUCCGGAUUUAUUGGGUUUAAAGGGAGCGUAGGUGGAUUGUUAAGUCAGUUGUGAAAGUUUGCGGCUCAACCGUAAAAUUGCAGUUGAAACUGGCAGUCUUGAGUACAGUAGAGGUGGGCGGAAUUCGUGGUGUAGCGGUGAAAUGCUUAGAUAUCACGAAGAACUCCGAUUGCGAAGGCAGUUCACUGGACUGCAACUGACACUGAGGCUCGAAAGUGUGGGUAUCAAACAGGAUUAGAUACCCGAGUAGUC